rnacentral:rRNA from 1 species
CCUACGGGAGGCAGCAGUGGGGAAUAUUGCACAAUGGGGGGAACCCUGAUGCAGCGACGCCGCGUGCGGGAUGGAGGCCUUCGGGUCGUGAACCGCUUUUACAGGGGAGCAAGCUUUCGGGUGAGUUAACUUUGUGAAUAAGCACCGGCUAACUACGUGCCAGCAGCCGCAGUAAUACGUAGGGUGCAAGCGUUGUCCGGAUUUAUUGGGCGUAAAGGGCUCGUAGGCGGUUCGUCGCGUCUGGUGUGAAAGCCCGCUGCUUAACGGUGGGUUUGCGUUGGAUACGGGCGGGCUUGAGUGCAGUAGGGGAGACUGGAAUUCUCGGUGUAACGGUGGAAUGUGUAGAUAUCGGGAAGAACACCUAUGGCGAAGGCAGGUCUCUGGGCUGUUACUGACGCUGAG